CAGAUGACAAUCUCAUAAAGCAUGCAGCCUCUCUUCCUCUUGAAAUUAUCCAAGUUCAAGGAGCUGCCGUUUCAGUGAGGUGAUCCGAGCCACCCCGAGAGCCUGGUGGAGUGGAGGAAGAGAGACAGAGCAGGACUGGACAAUAGACAGGACAGUAUAAAGUGGACAUGGCCACACAUAGCUCCAGAUGCUUGCUGUGACCGCCCCACCAUACCAGACACACCCCCCUCCAGCUUCAGAUUCCCCUCACCACCAAAAAUUGAACGGU